rnacentral:lncRNA from 1 species
AAAAUUAAAAUCAAACAACAUGCCUAUAUAUAUAUAUAUAAUUGAGCUUCUAUAAAAGUACUAAGUUAUUGGUGCUUGUAGAUUUUUGACUAUUGGAUUAAGAGAUGUGUGGCUAGGAUGAUGUGGGCCUCUUAGGGUUGAGUGGGUGGUUGGUUGAACAGUAUAAUCUAACGGUUAAGAAUGAUAAAAACCGUAGAUCUAACGGUAAAAAAUUUACAAAUACUAAGUGCUUGGUGUUUUUACAAGCACCAUAGCCGGACUCAUAGCUAUACAUAUUGAGGG